rnacentral:misc_RNA from 1 species
AGAAGGUUUAAUUGAGCAACAAGACGAUCAGCAUAUGGAGGAUGUGGGUGAUGAGUAUUUUCAAGAUCUGUUUUCCAGAUCAUUUUUUCAAUCUUCAAGCACUGGUGGAUUCAUAAUGCACGACCUUGUGAAUGAUUUGGCACAGUCUGUUGCUGGAGAGACAUGUUUCAGAUUAGAGGAUUCAUCAAUGGUUGGUCAAUAAUUUGAAAAAGAAAAAGCUCGCCACUUCUCUUACAUUUGCAUGUAUUAUGGUCAAAUUGAAAGAUUUGUACCCUUCCUUAGGAUCAAAUGUUUACGGACCUUCUUGGCCUUUUCAAUAGAGGAAAACUGUGGAAGUCAUCGUCUUAUGCAUCUGUAUUACUUAGCAAAUUGCAUUCCAUCUGUUUUGUUGUCAAAAUUAAGAUGUCUAAGGGUACUAUCUUUUCGUCAUUACAAGAUCACUGAGCUACCAGAUUGAAUAGGUGAUUUGAAGCAUCUAAGAUAUCUUGACCUUUCAUACACAAACAUUAUAACUUUACCUGAGGCAACAACCUCUCUCUGCAACUUACAGACUAUGCUACUGAAAGGAUGUUAUAAUCUCAAGAAAUUGCCUUCAGAAAUGCAAAAUUUGAUCAAACUACGUCAUCUUGAUAUGGAAAACACAUAUGCAGGGAUGCCACAGGGAAUAGAAGCAUUGAAGAGUCUUCGGAUAUUGUCUGAUUUUGUUGUGGGGAAAGGUAAUGAAGAAGUAGGUAUAACAGCUUUGAUGAAUUUA